AUGAACGCUGGCGGCGUGCCUAAUACAUGCAAGUCGAGCGCACAGACGAGGAGCUUGCUCCUCUGACGUUAGCGGCGGACGGGUGAGUAACACGUGGAUAACCUACCUAUAAGACUGGGAUAACUUCGGGAAACCGGAGCUAAUACCGGAUAAUAUAUUGAACCGCAUGGUUCAAUAGUGAAAGACGGUUUUGCUGUCACUUAUAGAUGGAUCCGCGCCGCAUUAGCUAGUUGGUAAGGUAACGGCUUACCAAGGCAACGAUGCGUAGCCGACCUGAGAGGGGAAUCGGCCAACCGGGAGCUGAGGAGGGGACCGAACCCAUACGGGGGGGAAGAGAAGGGAAUCUGCCGCAUUGGGGAAAAGCGGAAGGGAGCAACCCCGGAGAAGGGAGAAAGGUCUGGGGAUCGUAAAGCUAUGUAUUUAGGGAGAAAAAAAUGGGAAGAAAACUGUGCCCGUCUUGACGGACCCAAAACAGAAAGCCGGGGCUAACUACGG
rnacentral:rRNA from 1 species